CCUACGGGUGGCAGCAGUGAGGAAUAUUGGUCAAUGGGCGGAAGCCUGAACCAGCCAAGUAGCGUGCAGGAUGACGGCCCUACGGGUUGUAAACUGCUUUUAUACGGGAAUAACGCGCCUUCCGUGUAGGGCUUUGCAUGUACCGUAUGAAUAAGGACCGGCUAAUUCCGUGCAAGCAGCCGCGGUAAUCCGGAAGGUCCGGGCGUUAUCCGGAUUUAUUGGGUUUAAAGGGAGCGGAGGCCGGAUGUCAAGCGUGCUGUGAAAGGUCCGGGCUCAACCCGGGGCGUGCAGGGCGAACUGGCGGGCUUGAGUCCGCGGAAAGCAGGCGGAAUGCGUCGUGUAGCGGUGAAAUGCUUAGAUAUGACGAAGAACCCCGAUUGCGAAGGCAGCUUGCUGCAGCGGAACUGACGCUGAUGCUCGAAAGCGCGGGUAUCGAACAGGAUUAGAUACCCGAGUAGUC
rnacentral:rRNA from 1 species